rnacentral:rRNA from 1 species
GUGGGGAAUAUUGGACAAUGGGCGAAAGCCUGAUCCAGCCAUGCCGCGUGUGUGAAGAAGGUCUUCGGAUUGUAAAGCACUUUAAGUUGGGAGGAAGGGUAGUAACCUAAUACGUUGCUACUUUGACGUUACCGACAGAAUAAGCACCGACUAACUUCGUGCCAGCAGCCGCGGUAAUACGAAGGGUGCAAGCGUUAAUCGGAAUUACUGGGCGUAAAGCGCGCGUAGGUGGUUCAGUAAGUUGGAAGUGAAAUCCCCGGGCUCAACCUGGGAACUGCUUUCAAAACUGCUGAGCUAGAGUACGGUAGAGGGUGGUGGAAUUUCCUGUGUAGCGGUGAAAUGCGUAGAUAUAGGAAGGAACACCAGUGGCGAAGGCGACCACCUGGACUGAUACUGACACUGAGGUGCGAAAGCGUGGGGAGCAAACAGGAUUAGAAACCCUUGUAGUCC